rfam:Escherichia vulneris NBRC 102420 DNA, contig: EV10242005.
AUAACGUCGCUGGGAAGCGGCUGGCUUCCCGUGUAUGAUUGAACCCGCAGGGCCCGCACGUUCGGGUUUGCCCUGAGGGUUCAUUUUUAU